rnacentral:rRNA from 1 species
UAACUUUCAACAACGGAUCUCUUGGCUCUCGCAUCGAUGAAGAACGCAGCGAAAUGCGAUAAGUAAUGUGAAUUGCAGAUUUUCAGUGAAUCAUCGAAUCUUUGAACGCACCUUGCGCCCCUUGGUAUUCCGAGGGGCAUGCCUGUUUGAGUGUCAUUA